UACGAAGGGGGCUAGCGUUGCUCGGAAUCACUGGGCGUAAAGGGUGCGUAGGCGGUCCUUUAAGUCAGGGGUGAAAUCCUGGAGCUCAACUCCAGAACUGCCUUUGAUACUGAAGAUCUUGAGUUCGGGAGAGGUGAGUGGAACUGCGAGUGUAGAGGUGAAAUUCGUAGAUAUUCGCAAGAACACCAGUGGCGAAGGCGGCUCACUGGCCCGAUACUGACGCUGAGGCACGAAAGCGUGGGGAGCAAACAGG
rnacentral:rRNA from 1 species